rnacentral:rRNA from 1 species
GAUGAACGCUGGCGGCGUGCCUAAUACAUGCAAGUCGAACGCUUCACUUCGGUGAAGAGUGGCGAACGGGUGAGUAAUACAUAAGUAACCUGGCAUCUACAGGGGGAUAACUGAUGGAAACGUCAGCUAAGACCGCAUAGGUGUAGAGAUCGCAUGAACUCUAUAUGAAAAGUGCUACGGGACUGGUAGAUGAUGGACUUAUGGCGCAUUAGCUUGUUGGUAGGGUAACGGCCUACCAAGGCGACGAUGCGUAGCCGACCUGAGAGGGUGACCGGCCACACUGGGACUGAGACACGGCCCAGACUCCUACGGGAGGCAGCAGUAGGGAAUUUUCGGCAAUGGGGGAAACCCUGACCGAGCAACGCCGCGUGAAGGAAGAAGUAAUUCGUUAUGUAAACUUCUGUCAUAGAGGAAGAACGGUGGAUAUAGGGAAUGAUAUCCAAGUGACG